UACGGGGGGGGCGAGCGUUGUUCGGAAUUACUGGGCGUAAAGGGUUUGUAGGUGGCCUGCUAAGUCAGACGUGAAAUCCCUCAGCUUAACUGGGGAACUGCGUCUGAUACUGGCGGGCUUGAGGACAGGAGAGGAACGCGGAAUUCCAGGUGUAGCGGUGAAAUGCGUAGAUAUCUGGAGGAACACCGGUGGCGAAGGCGGCGUUCUGGACUGGUUCUGACACUGAAAAACGAAAGCCAGGGGAGCAAACGGG
rnacentral:rRNA from 1 species